CGGGGCUUUGUGUGGGAUGAUUCUGCGUAGGAUGGAGGUCACCAGCUGUUUGUCAAUGGUGUCUCAGGAUGUCCAGAAUAGAGUCCAGCUCCACACGGAAAGCAUCUAUCUCUCUGCACUUCUCUUGAGCCAGAUGUUUCCAACGCUCCACCUCUGAGUGCUGACUGGUGUUUAAUGUCUGCCAUGACUCCUUCUCUCUGUGUUGGUGUCUGAGCUCCAUGUUGAAGAUUUUCUUCUCCAGACUGCAGAGCAGCUUCACUUCUGGA